AUGCAGCACGUCUCCUGCAGUCGGACCGCGGUUAACAUUAAUGGUGAGAUCGGGUCAUACUUCCCCACUCUCUGUGGGGUUCGGCAGGGUGACCCGUUCUCCCCGUUUUUGUUCAACAUGGUGGUCGAUGCCCCUGUUGUUAUCCUGGAUAAGGCCAAAGCUUCUGGACAUAUUCAUGGCUUAGUCCCUCAUCUGGUAGGAGGGGGAGGGGUCUCCCUCCUACAAUAUGCGGACGAUACAAUAAUAAUGGUGGAGGGAUCCGCAUCCGACAUAGCCAACCUGAAGUUCCUCCUCCUUUGCUUCCAACAGAUGUCUGGGCUCACUAUCAACUUCGAUAAGAGCAAAGUGAUGAUCCUUGGCUAUCCUCCGGAGGAGGUCUAG
rnacentral:rRNA from 1 species